rnacentral:rRNA from 1 species
AUUGAACGCUGGCGGCAGGCUUAACACAUGCAAGUCGAGCGGGGGAAGGUAGCUUGCUACUGGACCUAGCGGCGGACGGGUGAGUAAUGCUUAGGAAUCUGCCUAUUAGUGGGGGACAACAUCUCGAAAGGGAUGCUAAUACCGCAUACGUCCUACGGGAGAAAGCAGGGGAUCUUCGGACCUUGCGCUAAUAGAUGAGCCUAAGUCGGAUUAGCUAGUUGGAGGGGUAAAGGCCGACCAAGGCGACGAUCUGUAGCGGGUCUGAGAGGAUGAUCCGCCACACUGGGACUGAGACACGGCCCAGACUCCUACGGGAGGCAGCAGUGGGGAAUAUUGGACAAUGGGGGGAACCCUGAUCCAGCCAUGCCGCGUGUGUGAAGAAGGCCUUAUGGUUGUAAAGCACUUUAAGCGAGGAGGAGGCUACUUUAGUUAAUACCUAGAGAUAGUGGACGUUACUCGCAGAAUAAGCACCGGCUAACUCUGUGCCAGCAGCCGCGGUAAUAC